rnacentral:rRNA from 1 species
UGGUUUAAUUCGACGCAACGCGUAAGAACCUUUACCAGGUCUUGACAUCCGAUGCUAUUUCUAGAGAUAGAAAGUUACUUCGGUACAUCGGUGACAGGUGGUGCAUGGUUGUCGUCAGCUCGUGUCGUGAGAUGUUGGGUUAAGUCCGCAACGAGCGCAACCCCUAUUGUUAGUUGCCAUCAUUCAGUUGGGCACUCUAGCGAGACUGCCGGUAAUAAACCGGAGGAAGUGGGAUGACGUCAAAUCAUCAUGCCCCUUAUGACCUGGGCUACACACGUGCUACAAUGGUUGGUACAACGAGUUGCGAGUCGGUGACGGCGAGCUAAUCUCUUAAAGCCAAUCUCAGUUCGGAUUGUAGGCUGCAACUCGCCUACAUGAAGUCGGAAUCGCUAGUAAUCGCAGGUCAGCAUACUGCGGUGAAUACGUUCCCGGGCCUU